rnacentral:rRNA from 1 species
UACGUAGGGGGCAAGCGUUGUCCGGAUUUACUGGGCGUAAAGAGCGCGCAGGCGGUCGUUCAAGUCGCGUGUGAAAGCCCCCGGCUCAACUGGGGAGGGUCACGCGAUACUGAUCGACUCGAAGGCAGGAGAGGGUAGUGGAAUUCACGGUGUAGCAGUGAAAUGCGUAGAUAUCGUGAGGAACACCAGAGGCGAAGGCGGUUACCUGGACAGUUACUGACGCUCAGGCACGAAAGCAUGGGGAGCAAAAGGG